rnacentral:rRNA from 1 species
CUCGAGGGCCGAUGGAAGGAGAGAGGGUUGUAGCUGGCGUAAGCACGUGCACGCCCUCUUUCUCGACCUAGGUCCUUAUGGGCGCGGGGCGACCCGCGUCUUCAUAAGCCCCUUCGUGUAGAAAGUCUAUGAAUGUUUUUAUUAUCAUCGACUCGCGACUUCUAGGAGACGCGAUUCUUUGAGACAAAAGUUAUUACAACUUUCAGCAAUGGAUCUCUUGGCUCUCGCAUCGAUGAAGAACGCAGCGAAUCGCGAUAUGUAAUGUGAAUUGCAGAUCUACAGUGAAUCAUCGAAUCUUUGAACGCACCUUGCGCUUAUCGGUGUUCCGAUGAGCAUGCCUGUUUGAGCGUCAUUAAAUUCUCAACCCCUCUCGAUUUGCUUCGAGAGGGUGCUUGGAUUGUGGAGGCUGCCGGAGACCUGUUUUUUCAGGACUCGGGCUCCUCUGAAAUGUAUUGGCUUGCGGUCGACUUUCGACUGUGCAUGACAAGGCCUUUGGCGUGAUAAUGAUCGCCGCUCGCCGAAGUGCACGAACGAAUGGUCUCGUGCCUCUAAUCAGUCGAUGUCUUUUCGAAGGCGUCUUCCUUAUUGACGUUUGACCUCAAAUCAGGUAGGACUACCCGCUGAACUUAAGCAUAUCAAUAAGCGGAGGAAAAGAAACUAACAAGGAUUCCCCUAGUAACUGCGAGUGAACCGGGAAAAGCUCAAAUUUUGAAUCUGGCGGU